GGAUAGAAGUGAAAAUCCUUUUAUUUUUCUUUGACAAAUGGAAAAAUAAAAGAUUGUAACGAAUAGCCCGACUU
rnacentral:sRNA from 1 species